UUGGAAGGCAAUAGUUUGGCGAGUCAUCCAGAUAGACCAAGUCAUUGGCAGUAGGCACGGAAAAUCUUGGAUCGCGCAUCGACAAGCGACCCCGCCGAUUGACCUUGACCUCAGUUGCACCGUCAUAUUUGUCCAACAGAAAAUCGCCUGAAAAUAUUAAUUAUAUAAUGCUAUUUAUACAGAUAUUUUUGUGGUCGCAAAAAAUAUCGUAAGAUGGUGAUAAGAAGCGUUAAUCGCACGCAUCGAGACUUACCGAUCUCGCGAAACGAUGUGAGUUGCUGCCAGCAAGUAAUCAGACUGCAGCUUCCGGAAACGCCAUGACAUUUGCACGUCACCUUGGACCUUUUGAUGACGGCCUGCAGAUGAACGACAUAUUAGUUUCGUGACACGGCGGCUUUAGUUGAGCGAAUUCGUGUUAAAAUUGCGAAAAAUCGAUAAGAGCACCUUCGUGCAUUUAACGAUGCGACAUUUAAGAGACAUUUCUCACACGUGUAGGCUAAGAAAAGAACGAACUUUACCCUGCGACCGGCUUCAUUAUUGUGUAAAUUCAUCAAGCUUCUGCCCUGUUCCCGGCUGCCUUUCUUAAAGCUACCUUCGCGCUCUCGCACGUCAACGAAUGAUUGCGUGAAUCUGAAACACAUGGACGACACAUUUGUCGUUUACUUUUGAUAUUAUUCGAGUAUUCCACGCAAAAAUUAAAGCCGUACUCGAGAUUAUCCCCGCAUCCGCCCCAGAUCCAAUCGCGAUUCAAAUCUCUGGGCCUGCUACUCCUGGAACAGCCACAUGACGAUAGUUGACCAUCUCGGCAAGAGCGACUGAUGGAGUAAACUACACCAGCAGCGGUGAUGGCGUGAACAAAUGCAGUUUCCCUACUCGCUUAUCGGCCCAAACACGUUCUCGUCGUGAACGGUGGAACAAUUCCACCUUCUGUCUCUGAACUGAUGCUGACACUCUGCGAUGCCGUAUUUUGCACCUUUGGUCACGCUGGACAUGUGAUCCACGG